UGACUAAUCCUAUCAGGAACCUUACUGAAG
rnacentral:piRNA from 1 species